AGUCGAGGGGCAGCGGGGCGGCAGGCUUGCCUGCCGUUGCCGGCGACCGGCGCACGGGUGAGUAACACGUAUGCAACCUGCCCGUGGCAGGGGGAUAAGCGGGGGAAACCCCGUCUAAUACCGCGUAACGCGGCCUAGGGACAUCCCAAGGCCGCCAAAGGGAGCAAUCCCGGCCACGGAUGGGCAUGCGGCGCAUUAGCUAGUCGGCGGGGUAACGGCCCACCGAGGCGACGAUGCGUAGGGGUUCUGAGAGGAAGGCCCCCCACACUGGUACUGAGACACGGACCAGACUCCUACGGGAGGCAGCAGUGAGGAAUAUUGGUCAAUGGGCGCGAGCCUGAACCAGCCAAGUCGCGUGAGGGAGGACGGCCCUACGGGUUGUAAACCUCUUUUGCCGGGGAGCAACGGGCGUCACGUGUGGCGCCACUGAGAGUACCCGGAGAAAAAGCAUCGGCUAACUCCGUGCCAGCAGCCGCGGUAAUACGGAGGAUGCGAGCGUUAUCCGGAUUUAUUGGGUUUAAAGGGUGCGUAGGCGGAUCGUUAAGUCAGUGGUCAAAUUGAGGGGCUCAACCCCUUCCCGCCAUUGAAACUGGCGUUCUUGAGUGGAAGAGAAGUAUGCGGAAUGCGUGGUGUAGCGGUGAAAUGCAUAGAUAUCACGCAGAACUCCGAUUGCGAAGGCAGCAUACCGGCGCCCUACUGACGCUGAGGCACGAAAGCGUGGGUAUCGAACAGGAUUAGAUACCCUGGUAGUCCACGCAGUAAACGAUGAAUGCUAACUGUCCGGCGCGAAUGAGCGCUGGGCGGUACAGCGAAAGCGUUAAGCAUUC
rnacentral:rRNA from 1 species